AGCUGGGACCACAGUCUCAAAGAAAACCAUUAGUAACACACUACGCCAUCAUGGAUUAAAAUCCUGCAGCGCACGCAAGGUCCCCCUGCUCAAGCCAAGGUCCCCCUGCUCAAGCCAAGGUCCCCCUGCUCAAGCCAAGGUCCCCCUGCUCAAGCCAAGGUCCCCCUGCUCAAGCCAAGGUCCCCCUGCUCAAGCCAAGGUCCCCCUGCUCAAGCCAAGGUCCCCCUGCUCAAGCCAAGGUCCCCCUGCUCAAGCCAAGGUCCCCCUGCUCAAGCCAAGGUCCCCCUGCUCAAGCCAGCGCAUGUCCAGGCCCGUCUGAAGUUUGCAAAUGACCAUCUGCAUCAUCCAGAGGAGGAAUGGGAGAAGGUCAUGUGGUCUGAUGAGACAAAAAUAGAGCUUUUUGGUCUCAACUCCACUCGCCGUGUUUGGAGGAAGAAUGAUGAGGACAACCCCAAGAACACCAUCCCAACCGUGAAGCAUGGAGGUGGAAACAUUCUUUGGGGAUGCUUUUCUGCAAAGGGGACAGGACGACUGCACCGUAUUGAGGGGAGGAUGGAUGGGGCCAUGUAUCGCGAGAUCUUCCCUCAGUAAGAGCAUUGAAGAUGGGUCGUGGCUGGGUCUUCCAGCAUGACAACGACCCGAAACACACAGCCAGGGAAAUUAAUGAGUGGCUCCGUAAGAAGCAUCUCAAGGUCCUGGAGUGGCCUAGCCAGUCUCCAGACCUGAACCCAAUAGAACAUCUUUGGAGGGAGCUGAAAGUCCGUAUUGCCCAGCGACACCUGAAGGAUCUGGAGAAGGUCUAUAUGGAGGAGUGGGCCAAAAUCCCUGCGCCAGUGUGUGCAAACCUGGUCAAGAACUACAGGAAACGUAUGAUCUCUGUAAUUGCAAACAAAGGUUUCUGUACCAAAUAUUAAUUAUGCUUUUCUUAUGUAUCAAAUAUUUAUGUCAUGCAAUAAAAUGCAAAUUAUUUACUUAAAAA